UCCAAAUUCCAUAUAUAGCUGCAUCAUUUUUUAAAAAAUAAUUUUAUUGGCUAAACUAUUUCAAGUAACAGAUAUCGUUUUUUGUGUGUGUGCCGAGUCUUACUUGUGACACAUAGGACCUUUAGUUGCAGCAUAUGGGGUAUCGUUCCCUGACCAAGGGUCAAAACUGGACCCCCUACAAUAGGAACAUGGAGUCUUAACGACUGGAUCACCAGGAAGUCCCAGGGGCUGUACCAUUUUAAAUUCUCGCUUAACAGUGUGCAAGUGUUCCAGCUGCUCCACAUACAGACCAAUACUUGUUAUUUUCUGAGUUCUAUCCAUCUUAAUGGGUUUGAGAUAAGAUUCCGAUCAUGGCUUUGAUUUGCUUUUCACUAAUUACUAGUGAUGUUGAAUAUCUUUCAUGUUCCUGUUAGCCAUUUGUUUAUCUUCUUUAGAGAAAGUUAAACCCUUUUGCCCAGUUUUUAACUGGGUUGUUUGUUUUCCUGUUGUUGACUUGUAGAAGUUAUAUUUUUUGGAUAUUAACUUCUUGUCAGAUUUAUGAUAUGCAAAUAUUUACCAAUAUGUGAUUUUUUUUUUUUAAGGUUAAAAGCUCAUACCAUGAAACCUGCCUCUUAGAUUCAAAUCCCAGUUGUGCCACUUACAGAUCUACGGGUAGAGGAAGGGUGAACAAUCAAAAAAUCUGGGGUCUGCCAACAAAGAGAAAGGGCAAUGACAGUUAAGUAGGGAAACAGCAGAGUCCCUUACACAGCACUAGAUGUCAAAGGCAGGUAGGUAUAUAUGUGGCUUAUGUCAUUUUUCAAACUGAGAAGCAUAAAUGUCAAGUCAUAAUAGAAGAUAAUGUUUCACUGAGUCUCACUAUGCCAGGUCCUUUAUAUGCAUAAUCUCAUUUCAUUUAUUCAUUCAACAAGUAUUUAAGGAGCCGCUUCUGGUGGCAGGGUCUGGGGAAGGGGCGGCAGGUGCCAUGUUGGACUGCAAAGGUGGCAUGAAGAAGCCCCUGAAGCAGCCCAAGAAGCCAGCCAAGGAGAUGGACGAAGAUAAGGCAUUCAAGCAGAAGCAGAAGGAGGAGCAGAAGAAACUUGAGGAGCUAAAAGCAAAGGCCGCGGGGAAAGGCCCCCUGGCCACCGGUGGAAUUAAGAAAUCUGGCAAAAAGUAAGCUGUUUCUUGUGCCUGAGGCAAUGAUGACCCUUAGUUCCAUUCCUGUUUAAACACCUGGAUUCCCUGCCGUAAUAUCUGUUGCUGCCUAUAGCUAGAAUGAAGUGUUGUCUUGGAACCUAUUGUGCAUUUAAGAAUAAACUUUUGUAA